GACUCUGGAGAAACCCAUAAUGGGUGCCGAAGGUGCAAAGUAUCAGCAACACGCGGAUAUGGAAUCUCUCAGGCAAAAGGACAGAGUUG
rnacentral:ncRNA from 1 species